GCCCUCGAUGAUUAGUGGUGAUCGCUUUGGAUAACUGUAGGGAAGAGGAAGAAAAUAUCACGAGGAUGCGCGGGUUCGAUUCCUGCCGAGGGCA